rnacentral:lncRNA from 1 species
AUGGGUUUACUACAUGCCUUAACACAAUUGAAUUAGAUCUUGAGACCAUCACCCCUACUGUCCUAACAUGCUAAGAAAAGAAAAAGAAAUAACAAAAAUCAGAAUGGUCAUGAUGCCAUCCACAUCUUAUUCAUGAUCAAAAUAGAAAGAAAAGAAAAAAGGCUUAUUCCUACUCCUUAGACUGGGUUCUCUUUCUUUCUCUUUGAAAGAAGCCACAAAAGCUGCCCAUCAGGCUAGUUCAACCUUGACUUCCUCUAAACUAAUGUCAGUUAAUUCCUCACUGGAUGGCUUGUUGCUAGAAGAAGAUAUAUCAGCAGCAUGAGAAGACACAUGAUCCUUACUAGGGGUAGAAGACUCGCCUUGAGACACCAGAGCCUGGGGACACAGGGAAAGAGGACAAGCGUGCUCCCAUCAAGAAUUGUUAUUGGUAGUUGUCAUAAACUUGUCCUGCUUCACCAAACCCUCAUCUGUGGGAGAUUUCUUCCCCUUUCAAGAUAGGCCCACCUUACCAAGAAGGUUGGAGGAGUGUUGCUUUAGAGGAAAAAUGGGACGGCAGUCAAUGGCCUCCCCAACAGAAGUAUAAUUCUGGAUAAACCAAAAC